GAAAUGCGAUAAUUAAUGUGAAUUGCAGAAUUGUGAAUCAUCGAAUCUUUGAACGCACAUUGCGCCCUUUGGUAUUCCGGGGGGCAUGCCUGUUCGAGCGUCAUUUCACCACUCAAGCCUCGCUUGGUAUUGGGCGACGCGGUCCGCCGCGCGCCUCAAAUCGACCGGCUGGGUCUUCCGUCCCCUCAGCGUUGUGGAAACUAUUCGCUAAAGGGUGCCGCGGGAGGUCACGCCGCAAAACAACCCCAUUUCUAAGGUUGACCUCGGAUCAGGUAGGGAUACCCGCUGAACUUAAGC
rnacentral:misc_RNA from 1 species